rnacentral:rRNA from 1 species
CUCUUCGGGGAUGAUUAAACCGGCGCACGGGUGAGUAACACGUGAGUGACCUGCCUUUUAGACUGGAACAACUUACCGAAAGGUGAGCUAAUGCCGGAUGAGUUAUAUAAGUGCAUGUUUAUAUAGGAAAAGUUGGGGAGACCUGACGCUGAAAGAUGGACUCGCGUCCCAUUAGCUAGUUGGUAGGGUAAUGGCCUACCAAGGCGACGAUGGGUAGCCGGCCUGAGAGGGUGGCCGGCCACACUGGGACUGAGACACGGCCCAGACUCCUACGGGAGGCAGCAGUGGGGAAUUUUGCGCAAUGCUCGUAAGAGUGACGCAGCGACGCCGCGUGAAUGACGAAGGCCUUCGGGUCGUAAAGUUCUUUCGACAGGGAAGAAAAUGCCUAUAAGUAACUGUGUAUGUAUUGACGGUACCUGUAUAAGCAGCCCCGGCUAACUCCGUGCCAGCAGCCGCGGUAAUACGGAGGGGGCGAGCGUUGUUCGGAGUGACUGGGCGUAAAGAGCACGUAGGCGGUGUUGUAAGUCAUUAGUCAAAGACUAGAGCUCAACUUUAGUAAGGCUAGUGAUACUAUAAUACUAGAGUAUCAGAGAGGAUUGCAGAAUUCCUGGUGUAGCGGUGAAAUGCGUAGAUAUCAGGAGGAAUACCGUUAGCGAAGGCGGCAAUCUGGCUGGAAACUGACGCUGAGGUGCGAAAGCGUGGGUA